GCGGGUAUAACUCAGAGGUAGAGUAUAAUUUUGCCAAAAUUAUUGUCACGUGUUCAAGUCACGUUACUCGCU
rnacentral:tRNA from 1 species